AGUCGAGUAGCUCAAUGGAUAGAGCGCCUGUGGGUUCUAAGUAUACUCUAAGUCACCUUUUUAGUAUACACCUAAGGAGGAUAUUGGUUCAAGUCCAAUCUCGACUGCCA
rnacentral:tRNA from 1 species